UACGUAGGGGGUAAGCGUUGUCCGGAUUUAUUGGGCGUAAAGAGCGUGUAGGCGGCCAUGCAGGUCAGCUGUGAAAACUCGAGGCUCAACCUCGAGACGUCGGUUGAAACCGUAUGGCUAGAGUCCGGAAGAGGAGAGUGGAAUUCCCGGUGUAGCGGUGAAAUGCGCAGAUAUCGGGAAGAACACCUAUGGCGAAAGCGGCUCACUGGACCAUUACUGACGCUGAUGCACGAAAGCUAGGGGAGCAAACAGG
rnacentral:rRNA from 1 species